GCUCAGUGCAGCAAACGUGGUUGUCUGUAGAUAAAUGCGGUUCAAAAAAAAAUCAUGUCAAUUUGUAAUUAUUUCAUUGCUCAACACUGAAGUCAAUGUAUGGGAAUUCUCAAGGAAGAGUGCGAUGUGGAGGAUAUGACUUGGCUCUACCAUGGCAAGGGGUAAGAGGAAAGAAAAUUCCUCGUUUAUAAAACUAGAGAUACUUACUUUGGAAAUGCAGGAGUCUUGCUCCAACGCAAAUUAUUCCCUGAGCUCUGCCCUGGCCACGACUCCCAUUCACUUCAGCGGGAGCUUUGUGCGUUGCAGCACUGCAUGAGCGGCCGAUUUGACCCCUCAGCUCUGGCUAAACUCCAAUUCCUGUAAGAAGGUCCCUCAUGGCAGCAUUUUCUAACGGGGAAGUUUUGGUGGGGUGUCUGGAGAAGAUGCACGCUUGUGCGUGGAACUGAAGCGCACGGCCCCAACCCUGCGAUACACGGGUGGGUGUGCAGGGGGGGCCCAGCUCUCCGCAGAGCGUGGAUGCUCCCUCACCUGCACGCUCGCCUGUGUUGUGGACCUGCCGCACUGAGCGGUGGGGAUGGGCUGAGAGUGUCCAACUCCGGGGUCAGCGUGGGGGUGGAUAGCUGAGCUGAAACGUCCUGGCUGAAGUGCCAUUCAACCGCGAUCUCGGUGCAGUUCUGGGGUAUAACUCGUAGGGAUAGUGUUUCAACUGCACACUUUUCUCCCUCAUAUGUAUGUAUGUAUUUAUUUAUUUAUUUUAAUUAAAGGACAAACAGACCGUCUCCACCGUAAGCUCAAUGGAUAUAGCGUACCCCUUGCCACCCCCCCCGGCUCCAGCCUUCAAUCCCCCUUCACACGGGUCUAGCGGCUCUGUACUCUCAGGCUCUUUCAAGGGGUUAAGCUGCUAAAAUGUACUGACAGCUUAAGAAAUGAAUGAGGGUUUUUUCAGCCAUGAAGAAAGGGUAUUUAAUAACCACGCUUCGAUGGCAUCAUGCUUCCAUGAAACGAGUCGGGACACUUUGGUUUAACAAUCAGUAAUAUCACAUUCGGUACAGCAAAUGCCUGGAUGUACGCAUAUAUAAUUCUGUUCCCCCUUGACUCUAAGCUUGCCUUAUUUAUUCCAGGUUACCUGGGCAAUUAAGGUAAGGGCUGCUCAGCAGACACUGAUAGCCUGCUGCUAAGGCAUGGCGAAUGGGGACGGAUCGGUGCGCUAACAAAGAGAAAGAGGUAGUCAAACAUUUUGAAGAGGGGUGAAUGGGACUGAAGGUGGAUGGAUGAAUAGAGGCAAAGAGGGAGAGGAAGAAGUAUUCAACGGUCCACCCUUCUAUCCGCAUUUGUAGAUUUAAGUUUAGGUGUCCGUCUCUAGCCAACUUCCAGUUAAUCCUCAACAGCUGGUAGUGGUGCUAACGUUUAGUGAUUAGAAGUUAGUCUAUUUAGCAUGCUGUAUCCUUCUUCCAUGGGUUUUGGUUACAGGUUAUACGAUUAGGAUUGCGAGAACAGUAGUGAACUAAACUUCCCAGUAAGAGGUCUUCACACCAGGGAAGUGUUACUUUGCUGCAGCAGCCCUGCCUCGUCAGUCAUUAGGAAGCUGCAGGUUGUCAGAGGCUUCUCUUGCGCGCACACACGCGCAGACACACACACGCACACACACAAAACCACAGCACUAAAACUAAAUUAAGAAGCCGAUGAUUAAGACAAGCGUCUACGAGGCCUGUCAUUUCAGCAUCCUUCCAUCAUAACAUUGUGGCACCGAGAAAUUUGCUUGAAAACCCCGGAAAAAAUGUCUAUGGGAGAGCCUCCUGUUUGAGAUAGCAUAAAUGUUAACUUCAAAUAUAGACUGGGAACUGCCUCGGAUGCAAGAUAGUAUUCCGCAGAGGAAAGGAGCACUGCAGAGACCUUUGGGCUACCCGUGCACUCCCGAAACUCUGGAUUGACUUGAUCGUCCCUGAAAACGCAGAACAGCCCAUGAGAUCUCUCCCUUCAAACCAAGCGUGUGGAAGAUGCUUGCAAAAGAGCCCUGAAAACAAAACAACUUGACUGAAGGCAGCUUGUGCAACAAUUGUGUCGUGGAAUACCUAACAUUUCUUUAUCUUUAACUUAUUUCCUUUUGGAUAAUGUCAAUAAAUAUCAGCUAUGCCAA